rnacentral:rRNA from 1 species
AUUGAACACUGGCGGCAGGCCUAACACAUGCAAGUCGAACGAGGGGCGGACGGGUGAGUAAUGUCUGGGAAACUGCCUGAGGGGGGGGGAUAACUACUGGAAGCUGGAGCUAAUACCGCAUAAAAUCAGAUGUGCCGAGAUGGGAUUAGCUUGUGGGUGGGGUAACGGCUCACCAAGGCGACGAUCCCUAGCUGGUCUGAGAGGAUGACCAGCCACACUGGAACUGAGACACGGUCCAGACUCAUACGGGAGGCAGCAGUGGGGAAUAUUGCACAAUGGGCGCAAGCCGGAUGCAGCCAUGCCGCGUGUAUGAAGAAGGCCUUCGGGUUGUAAAGCACUUUCAGCGGGGAGGCGUUACCCGCAGAAGAAGCACCGGCUAACUCCGUGCCAGCAGCCGCGGUAAUAC